rnacentral:rRNA from 1 species
CGCACGGGUGAGUAACGCGUAGGUAAUCUACCCUUAUGACUGGGAUAACAUUGGGAAACUGGUGCUAAUACCGGAUACACUUCUUUACUGCGGGGUAAAGGAGGAAAGGUGGCCUCUUCAUGAAAGCUACCGUAUAGGGAUGAGCCUGCGUACCAUUAGCUAGUAGGCGGGGUAACGGCCCACCUAGGCAACGAUGGUUAGCGGGUCUGAGAGGAUGAUCCGCCACACUGGAACUGGAACACGGACCAG